AUACGGAGGGGGCUAGCGUUGUUCGGAAUCACUGGGCGUAAAGCGCUCGUAGGCGGAUCAGUCAGUCAGAGGUGAAAUCCCAAGGCUCAACCUUGGAACUGCCUUUGAUACUGCUGGUCUUGAGGUCGAGAGAGGUAAGUGGAAUUCCUAGUGUAGAGGUGAAAUUCGUAGAUAUUAGGAAGAACACCAGUGGCGAAGGCGGCUUACUGGCUCGAUUCUGACGCUGAGGAGCGAAAGCGUGGGGAGCAAACAGGAUUAGAUACCCCAGUAGUCC
rnacentral:rRNA from 1 species